rnacentral:lncRNA from 10 species
GACAGAGAUAGAGAGAGAUAGGGGUGGAGAGAGACAGACAGAGACGGAGACAGAGAGAUACUGAGAGAGAGAGACAGAGACAAACAGAGACAGGGACCGAGAGAGACAGAGACAGAAGAGGGAGACAGAGACAGAGCGAAACAGAGACAGUGGGAAUGUGAAUCCCGGGCCCCUGCAGGGCUAUCUCGGUCCUGUGGUGCAGUGAUUUGCUGAGCACGGGGUGUGCCCUGCAUUGCUGGGGGCUGGGGUGGGAGUGGCUACAAAGUCAUUUCUCAUGGGAGGAACAUUUCCCUGUUGUUUCUAAACUCUCAGGAAACUGUCUGAUGUCUCUAAAGAAACCACUGUUGCCUGUGCUCGUGGAAAGCUGAUUCAGGAAGGGGUCUGGGGAGUCUGGGAUGUGGGUUUCCUGGGUGAGCGGUUGAGGGGCCUCUGUGGUGACUCUGAGCCUACAGGUCUUGCUGCUGCUGCCACUCCUGGGCUGUCAGGCGACGCCUGAGCCCUGGAGCCUGUGACUCUUGCCAGCCUGAGCAGUGCUUGCUCCCUGCGGCGUUGGCCCAGACUCUGUCUGGAGUGGGUGGUCUGGGGCCCUUGGCCGGGAGGUGCCUCCCUCGGCUGCCUCCAUCUGAGGCCCUCCCUGCAGCUCUGCCCCCUACCCCUUGUGCCCUGCUCUCCUCCUCCCACCCCCUCUGCUCUGUCUGCUGUCUGUUUCCAAGGGAACCUGAGUUGACAUGGGGAGAAGCAGAAUUAAGGGCUGUGAAGGCCCCGAGAUGGGGUCCAGGUCCCGACUGCUGGCUUUGGGCUCUAUCUGGGCACCCUGAGACUGUGUGAGGAUGGCCGGGCUGCUGCUGAGGCCAACGCUGGGAGCUGAGUGCCCAUGCACCCCAGGGCUGUCCCCUCAGUGAGCCCAGCACCCAUCCACCUCAGCUCUGGGGCUCAUGGGAGGCACAGGCAGGCAUGCAAGCGACAGCGGCCCAGGAAGUCACCAGGUGCUGCGAGAACGAUGGAAAGAGGCCUGUGUGACAAUGGGGGAAGGAGAGAGGGCUCAGGGGAGAGGGCUCAGGGGAUGGGACUAUGGACUCAGGGGAGGUGUCAGGCCUCUGAGCCCAAGCUAAGCCAUCAUAUCCCCUGUGACCUGCAGGUACACAUCCAGAUGGCCAGUUUCUGCCUUAACUGAUGACAUUCCACCACAAAAGAAGUGAAAAUGGCCUGUUCCUGCCUUAACUGAUGAUGACAUUACCUUAUGAACGUCCUUCUCCUGGCUCAUCCUGGCUCAAAAGCUCCCCUGCUGAGCACCUUGUGACUCCCACCCCUGCCUGCCAGAGAACAACCCCCCUUCUUCCUUUACCUACCCAAAUCUUAUAAAACAGCCCCACCCCUACCUCCCUUCGCUGACUCUCUUUUUGGACUCAGCCCGCCUGCAACCAGGUGAAAUAAACAGCCAUGUUGCUCCCACAAAGCCUGUUUGGUGGUCCUUUCACACGAACGUGCAUGAAAUUUGGUGCCGUGACUCAGAUCAGGGGACCUCCCUUAGGAGAUCAAUCCCCUGUCCUCCUGCUCUUUGCUCUGUGAGAAAGAUCCACCUACAACCUCGGGUCCUCAGACCGACCAGCCCAAGGAACAUCUCACCAAUUUUAAAUCCAGUAAGUGGCCUCUUUUUUACUCUCUUCUCCAACCUCCCUCACUAUCCCUCAACCUCUUUCUCCUUUCAAUCUUGGCGCCACCCUUCAAUCUCUCCCUUCUCUUAAUUUCAAUUCCUUUCAUUUCUUGUAGAGACAAAGGAGACACAUUUUAUCCAUUGACCCAAAACUCCGGCGCUGGUCACGGACUUGGGAAGGCAGCCUUCCCUUGGUGUUUAAUCAUUUAUGGGGACGCCUCUCUGAUUAUUCAUCCAUGUUCCACUGAUGUCUGAUCUCCGUGGGGAAGCCUGCCUUGGUCAUUCACCCACGUUCCCUUGGUGGCAGGUCAAUUGUGGGGACGCCUGCCUUGGCUGCUCCCCACAACCAAUUCUCCAUGCCUCUACCCUUCCCUUUAAACUUGCCUCCUUCACUAUGGGCAACUUUCCACCCUCCAUUCCUCCUUCUUCUCCCUUAGCCUAUGUUCUCAGGAACUUAAAACCUCUUCAACUCUCGCCUGACCUAAAAUCUAAGCGUCUUAUUUUCUUCUGCAACACCACUUGGCCCCAGUACAAACUUGACAAUGGCUCUAAAUGACCAGAAAACGGCACUUUCGAUUUCUCCAUCCUACAAGAUCUAAAUAAUUCUUGUCGUAAAAUAGGCAAACGGUCUGAAGUGCCUGACGUCCAGGCUUUCUUUCAUACAUCCCUAGUCUGUUCCCAAUGCAACUCAUCCCAAAUCUUCCUUCUUUCCCUCCCCUCAGUCCCAAUCCCAAGCGUUGCUGAGUCUUUCCUCUUUCCAAUCUUCCUUUUCUACAGACCCAUCUGACCCCUCCGCUCCUCCCCAGGCUGCUCCUCGCCAGACCGAGCUAGGUCCCAAUUCUUCAUCAGCCUCCGCUCCUCUACCCAAUAAUCCUUUUAUCACCUCCCCUCCUCACACCUGGUCUGACUUACAGUUUCGUUCCGUGACUAGCUCUCCCCCACCUGCCCAGCAAUUUCCUCUUAAAAAGGUGGCUGGAGCUAAAGGCAUAGUCAGGGUUAAUGCUCCUUUUCUUUACCCGACCUCUCCCAAAUCAGUUAGCGUUUAGGCUCUUUUUCAUCAAAUAUAAAAAUCCAGCCCAGUUCAUGGCUCGUUCGGCAGCAACCCUGAGAUGCUUUACAGCCCUAGACCCUGAAAGGUCAAAAGGUCAUCUUAUUCUCAAUAUACAUUUUAUUACCCAAUCCGCUCCCGACAUUAAAUAAAACUCCAAAAAUUAAAUUCCGGCCCUCAAACCCCACAGCAGGACUUAAUUGUACACCUCGCCUUCAAGGUGUACAAUAAUAAAGUAGAGGCAGCCAAGUAGCAAUGUAUUUCUGAGUUGCAAUUCCUUGCAUCCACUGUGAGACAAACCCCCGCCAUAUCUCCAGCACGCAAGAACUGGAACGCCUGAACCGCAGCUGCCAGGGUUUCCUCCAGGCCCGUUUACCCGAGAAGCUUGCUACAAGUGCCAGAAAUCUGGCCACCGGGCCAAGGAAUGCCCGCAACCCAGGAUUCCUCCUAAGCCGUGUCCCAUCUGUGCAGGACCCCACUGAAAAUCAGACUGUUCAACUCACCUGGCUGCCACUCCCAGAGCCCCUGGAACUCUGGCCCAAGGCUCUCUGACUCCUUCCCAAAUCUUCUCGGCUUAGCGCUUGAAGACUGACGCUGCCCGAUCACCUCAGAAGCCUCCUGGACCAUCACGGAUGCUGAGCUUCGGGUAACUCACAGUGGAAGGGAGGCUGUAGGCUCUCUGCUUACAGAGCCACCUUCCCAUGGGGAGCAAGACCCUCUAGCCUCUGAGCUCCAUGGAGGUACCCAAGGCGGCACCAGCCCAGGAGGGCAGUGGAGCCCCUGCAGGCAGGUGACCCGAUCCUCUCCAGCUUGCACCUCCCUGAGGGCUCCCACGAGGCUCCCAUGUGUUCAGGAGUCUCCAACCACCAGGACAUGAUGCCCAGCACCUCUUUCACAGACCCAGGACACGAAGAAAGCCAGAAGGUUUGGGGAUGGCUGGAUCUGCAGGACUGUUUUUCCUUCCCUAAAAGAGCACCUUGCCUUCCUGCAUGGACCACAGGAUGGUGUGUGUGGCCACAAAACCCAGAAGGUGAGGUGCUGAAAGAAAGCAAGCUGCUGGGAUCAUUCCUGCUUCAAAGCAGGUGAUGUGGCCACAGGCGCAUGGGAAGAAUGGUCCCAGAGACACAGGCAGCCAGCUGGGGUGGAAGGGCGUCCUGGGGACCCACCCCCUGGAGGGCUUCACAGAGAACAGAACCGCCUGGGGUGAGCUGGUGGAAAACAACAGAACUUCACACAGCCCCAACGAUCCAUUACCAGGACCCAGAACCUCAGCUUCAACGAGGCUCUGCUUGUCCCCAGUGACUGAAGCCUCCCAGGGCACUUAGCUGACCUGGGGAUGAUGGAGGGGAGUUGGGGCUUUCAUGCUGGCCUUCCAGGGAAGCCUUAGGGCUGGCCCAAGUCUGGAGGAAAAGCUGCAUGUAGGAGUGACACCAUCUUAAAGCCCAUUCUUUGGAAGCCAUCAUGAUGAAAAAUGGCACACACUGUUCUUCAAUCUCACCUCCCUCCAGCCUUCUCAAGCAAAGCAACAACAACACACUCAUCACCACUUCUAAGACACGAGAACUAACUUCAAACAAGCCAAUUGUGAAAUCCUGAUUUUUCUCCUUAAGUAAGUUAUGGAAUUAUUGAAAACCAUUAGGAAGGAAGGGCUGAUUCCUACCUAACUGGUCUCUCUUCAGUCUUCUCCCUGAGUUACACACUGAGACCUUUGCCACGACAGAAAUGACGUUCGUUUUAACCCCGGAUUCCUGGGCUUUAUGGUCAGGAGGGUUCUUCUAGGGCCCCCACUCACAGCAAGCCCUUUGUAAUUUUACACGUAAGUGAAAUCAACAGUGACUGUCUGCACAGGGGGUUAAAAGAGUUCCUGUCAGCAAAAGGGCAGAGACGUGAAACCGAACUCAGGACACUGCAAAGAUGCUUGGCUCCUGGCCCACUUGUGAUUAUCCCUCCUCCAUUCGAUUUAUUCACAAAGUGAGUGAGACUGAAUGGCUGGUUUCUAGCCAGAGGGGACUUCAAUAUUUGAGUGAGGGAGACAGGAAAAGACCCAAAAAUCGUUAGUGUCCCCACCCUAGGACACUGGCAUAUCCGUGACCUCUCUGAGUGCUCUGAGAAAAAUGAGGGAGGUUGGUGGGCACAGUGGCAGACAGGUGGCUGCUGGAGUCUCCCUCUUCCCACGGGACCCUCCUGUCCCUGGCACCACAAUCUCACCUCCUUUCUCACUUUUCAGUUGCAAGGAGGGAUGCAUGGUUUUUUUAGCAAAUAAAAUAUAAGACAUCUGGUUAAAUUUGAAUUUCAGAUAAAUAAUUACAAUUUUUAAAUGUAAGCUUGUCACUGUAUUUUAUCUGGUAACCCCUUGCAAGGAGCCUGCAGACCCCAAGCAAAUGUCUUCCCUUAAUCUAGAAAACACCUUCACCCAGGAUGGGAGCGACAUGAGCCAUCAGGCCUUUUAUUUGCUUUUAAUAUACUUUGGUGUGGGCAUAAGUAUCUUAAAUAAUUGAACCUGUAAUUGCACCAUAAAAACAAUGAUGCUAAUACAAAUAACAGCCAACAAGCAUGGAGCGCGUACUCUAUUGUUGUAGACACACGAGCCCCAGAAAAACUCUGUGCAGAGGAGAAAACUGAGCCACAGACAUGUUAGCAACUUGCUGAAUUAAAGACCUUUUGGUAGGUCUCUGAAACGCUCACACAGGACAAGCAGGUUUUUCCUACGUUUGCACAAAGCUCUGCUGACUGUAAGUCUUUCUCUCUGGUGUAGAUCUAUAUACACACAUAUGUGCAUGUGCAUCCUGCACAAAUAGUGUGUGUGAGAGAGGAAGUAACAGAGAGAGAGACAGACAGAGAGAGAAGGAGAAAAAAAUCACCCUGGACUUAGCUCUGGGCAUCAAAGAAGUGGCUUCAUCUUGACUUGCUGCCUCAACUGAUUGAAGCAAUCCCAAUAAUUGGUCAUGAUUUUUCUGCAAGGAUUCAGCUGCGUAUUUCUUGGUGUGGGGACAGAGGAUGAACCCCUCAGGCUUUCCUCUCACUAUGGUGUCUCUGGUGGGAACAGCUGGGGAUGCAAAGCCAUUAUGAUGUCGGAUAGGAGAGAAACCUGCUGUGCCCUCAGCCCUUGAGGAUUGCUUGGUGAGAAUGCGGAGCCAGGUCCAUCCCAGGAGGAAAAGGCCCAAACUCUAGGCAGCUUCUCCCAGGGACUUCACAGACACUUUUUAUGUCUUGAAUACCUGCAUUCCCAGACCCAAACCCACAGUUCCCAGUUCAAACACCUGGUUCUAGUGCCUUUUCCGCUGCCCAGGGAUGCCCCAGGUGCCACCGCUCCCAGUCUCUCCAAGUCUUUACGCAAAUAUAAAGAACUUCUCACUGGCAGGGAAUAAUUCUUACAAGGCUGUGUGGCAAAUGGAAAGUUUUUUUUUUUCAGCAAAACAAAGAUUCUUUUAACAUUUGUAGAAAGUCAUUCAAGGAACUGUUUCUGAAGGCACUACUUUGGAGUUUGGACUGAGUGUGGGAGAGUGCGGGGUGAGGGUGUGUGGACAACAGGGUGUCUUUGCCUGACAUGAAAAUUUAAAAAACAAAGAAAUAAAGGGGGUACUUGAGGGUGAAAGAUAAACUCACAAACAAGUCAAUAAACUUCCUUUUCAGAGUUACUGAGCACACAGGUGACUUUUACUGAUUUAUUUAUUUUUACUGGCAUUAUAGUUUACUUUAUUCUCCUUUCUAAAUAGUUUUCACAGAAAGAAAAUGCUGAAAAGCAUUCCUUUAUGGUUGCGUUUUUGCUUAGGAAUUCUUUUGAUGCUAGGGGUGGGGAGCAAACUGAAGAGAGAUGUAGGUUUUGUGAUUUUAUCAUUUUUUAUGAUGAUGCCUCCAGGUAGCACAUAUUUAUAUCCUGACACAGUCUUGUUCUUACUUCUGAGUACCCAGUUAACCUAGAGGAGUCUUGAGUGGACUGCAGAUGAGGAGAGCAUGAGGGGUUUGCAAUGAGCCAGGCAGGUGCACCUGAGCAGGCACUGCCCCUAUCAGCUGAUACUCAUGGAGAGGAGACUGGCCUGCAAACCCUCUGCCAGUACUGUAAACCCUACAUGUUUAGGUCUGGUGUGAGUUCUAAGGAAUCUGAUAAAUGCCUGCCUUUGUCACUCUGGCUGACUCGGAUCCCAUGAAGCUGAUGGGUUAGAUGAGUCUGAUCCUGAGAAACACCCCCGGGUGCAGGAAAUAGUGAAAAUCAGAUACGAAGAAGCCACACCUGUGAUUUUAAUCUUUAUGAAAAUAUCAUGCUUCUGAACUUCCUCUUUCAAAAUUCGGAUGACACACAAGUCUAUCGUACGUCAUCUUUACCACUGGAGGGUGGCUUCACGUGUUUAUAAGGAAGCUGAUAUUGUGAAUCCCAACCUCCACCACAACGCUCACCCUUACAGACACACUAUUGCAGGUCUCCGAGGGCCUUUGGGAGGCCCUGCUUCCUGCGAGCUGUCCCGGCAGGACAGAGACUCUUCCCGCCGCGGCCCUGCCAUUCCAGGCUGAGGCUGUGAGCAGCACCAUGACAAGCUCCAGCCGCAGUGGCUCUCAACAGUGUGGGUCUCUGACCACCCGACGAGCUGGAAGUGCAGACCGCUGACCUCCCUUGAGAACCUACUGGGUUCUUGCAGUAGGCUCCUCAGCGGUGUCUAAACACGCCACUCAGAUGAUUCUAUGCACCAUCACAUUGGAAACUUUUUUCAUUGACUGUUACUUAAUGAGAAGACUUCCCUCCGGGAUGGUUCUGAAGCUUCCUUCAUAGGAGCAAGCCUUUGGCGGAGAGCACUGAGCAGACGUGCAGCAUCUUUGCUGGCUUCUACCGAAACACCAUGGAUCCAGACGUGGUUUUGUGGUCCUGCACGUGGAAGCCAGCCCUGCGUGGGGGCGAGUUUGGACGGCAAGACUGAUGGAGAUUGUGGUCUAAAUGCCUCUAACCCACUCCUUAAAAUGACCACCGGAUGUUCCACAAGUACUUGAAAAUGAAUGAAUGGCUUCCCGAGAGGCAGAAGGCAGGGGUGUGCCCUACCCCACGCCGGCCAAGAGUUCAACAAGCAUUGGUUGACAAGUGAAUAGUGAGCACUUGAACCCAGUCACAAUUCAAGAUG